UACAGAGGGUGCGAGCGUUAAUCGGAAUUACUGGGCGUAAAGGGCGCGUAGGUGGAUAUUUAAGUGAGAGGUGAAAUCCCCGGGCUUAACCUGGGAACUGCCUCUUAUACUGGGUAUCUGGAGUGUGGUAGAGGGUAGUGGAAUUUCCGGUGUAGCGGUGAAAUGCGUAGAUAUCGGAAGGAACACCAGUGGCGAAGGCGGCUACCUGGACUAACACUGACACUGAGGCGCGAAAGCGUGGGGAGCAAACAGG
rnacentral:rRNA from 1 species